UACGGAGGGGGCUAGCGUUGUUCGGAAUUACUGGGCGUAAAGCGCACGUAGGCGGCUUUGUAAGUUAGAGGUGAAAGCCCGGGGCUCAACUCCGGAAUUGCCUUUAAGACUGCAUCGCUUGAACACGGGAGAGGUGAGUGGAAUUCCGAGUGUAGAGGUGAAAUUCGUAGAUAUUCGGAAGAACACCAGUGGCGAAGGCGGCUCACUGGACACAUAUUGACGCUGAGGUGCGAAAGCGUGGGGAGCAAACAGG
rnacentral:rRNA from 1 species